rnacentral:rRNA from 1 species
GUGCACCAGUCGCGAAAACUUUACAAUGCGGGCAACCGCGAUAAGGGGACCUCGAGUGCUGGGUUACAAACCUGGCUGUUGGGCUGCCUAAAAAGCAGUCUAUAGCAAGGGCCGGGCAAGACCGGUGCCAGCCGCCGCGGUAACACCGGCGGCUCGAGUGGUAACCGCUAUUAUUGGGUCUAAAGGGUCUGUAGCCGGCCGACUAAGUCUCUUGGGAAAUCUGGCAUCUCAAGUGUCAGGCUGCCAGGGGAUACUGGUCGGCUUGGGACCGGGAGAGGUGAGAGGUACCUCGGGGGUAGGGGUGAGAUCUUGUAAUCCUCGAGGGACCACCAGUGGCGAAGGCGUCUCACCAGAACGGAUCCGACGGCAAGGGACGAAAGCUAGGGGCACGAACCGGAUUAGAUACCCUGGUAGUCC